AUAUUCGUGGUUCAGUCGGGAGAACAUCCGACUAUGGUGCGGUAGAAUUCGGGUUCGAGUCCCAGUGAAUAUG